GAUGAACGCUGGCGGCGUGCUUAACACAUGCAAGUCGAACGAGAAGUGAAGACGGAAACCUUCGGGCGGAAGGCUUUAUUUCGAGUGGCGGACGGGUGAGUAACGCGUGGGUAACCUGCCUCAUACAGGGGGAUAACAGUUGGAAACGACUGUUAAUACCGCAUAAGACCACAGCACCGCAUGGUGCGGGGGUAAAAACUCCGGUGGUAUGAGAUGGACCCGCGUUCGAUUAGCCAGUUGGCGGGGUAACGGCCCACCAAAGCGACGAUCGAUAGCCGAUCUGAGAGGAUGACCGGCCACAUUGGGACUGAGACACGGCCCAAACUCCUACGGGAGGCAGCAGUGGGGAAUAUUGCACAAUGGGGGAAACCCUGAUGCAGCGACGCCGCGUGAGUGAAGAAGUAUUUCGGUAUGUAAGCUCUAUCAGCAGGGAAGAAAAUGACGGUACCUGAGUAAGAAGCCCCGGCUAACUACGUG
rnacentral:rRNA from 1 species